rnacentral:rRNA from 1 species
UACGUAGGGUGCAAGCGUUAAUCGGAAUUACUGGGCGUAAAGCGUGCGCAGGCGGUCUUGCAAGACAGAUGUGAAAUCCCCGGGCUCAACCUGGGAACUGCAUCUGUGACUGUAUAGCUAGAGUACGGUAGAGGGGGAUGGAAUUCCGCGGUGUAGCAGUGAAAUGCGUAGAGAUGCGGAGGAACACCGAUGGCGAAGGCAGCCCCCUGGGCUAACACUGACGCCUCAGGCACGAAAGCGUGGGGAGCA